CGGGUGAGUAACGCGUGGUCAACCUUCCGUUGAAUGGGGGAUAACUAGCCGAAAGGUUAGCUAAUACCGCAUACGAUCUUUCGAAGGCAUCUUUGAAAGAUGAAAGGAGCAAUUCGUUCAACGACGGGACCGCGUCCCAUUAACUAGAUGGUGGGGUAAUGGCCUACCAUGGCAACGAUGGGUAGCUGGUUUGAGAGAGCGACCAGCCACACUGGGACUGAGAGACGGCCCAG
rnacentral:rRNA from 1 species